GACGAACGCUGGCGGCGUGCUUAACACAUGCAAGUCGAACGGAAAGGCCCUGCUUGCCGGGUACUCGAGUGGCGAACGGGUGAGUAACACGUGGGUGAUCUGCCCUGCACUUCGGGAUAAGCCUGGGAAACUGGGUCUAAUACCGGAUAGGAGCCAUUUUUAGUGUGAUGGUUGGAAAGUUUUUUUCGGUGUAGGAUGAGCUCGCGGCCUAUCAGCUUGUUGGUGGGGUAAUGGCCUACCAAGGCGGCGACGGGUAGCCGGCCUGAGAGGGUGGACGGCCACAUUGGGACUGAGAUACGGCCCAGACUCCUACGGGAGGCAGCAGGGGGGAAUAUUGCACAAUGGGCGCAAGCCUGAUGCAGCGACGCCGCGUGGGGGAGGACGGCCUUCGGGUUGUAAACUCCUUUCGCUAGGGACGAAGCUUUUUGUGACGGUACCUAGAGAAGAAGCACCGGCUAACUACGUG
rnacentral:rRNA from 1 species